UGGGCCGUCGCCAAGCGGUAAGGCACCAGGUUUUGAUCCUGGCAUUCGUUGGUUCGAUUCCAGCCGGCCCAGCCA
rnacentral:tRNA from 1 species